rnacentral:rRNA from 1 species
UACGAAGGGGGCUAGCGUUGCUCGGAAUCACUGGGCGUAAAGCGCACGUAGGCGGCUUGUUAAGUCAGGUGUGAAAUCCUGGAGCUCAACUCCAGAACUGCCUUUGAUACUGGCGAGCUUGAGUUCGGGAGAGGUGAGUGGAACUGCGAGUGUAGAGGUGAAAUUCGUAGAUAUUCGCAAGAACACCAGUGGCGAAGGCGGCUCACUGGCCCGAUACUGACGCUGAGGUGCGAAAGCGUGGGGAGCAAACAGG